rnacentral:snRNA from 1 species
AUCCACCUCGGAUCUCGAGGAGG